rnacentral:rRNA from 1 species
AUUGAACGCUAGCGGCAUGCCUAACACAUGCAAGUCGAGCGAGCGGCGGACGGGUAAGGAAUGGAUGGGGACUACCCGAUAGAGGGGGAUAACAACUGGAAACGGUAGAUAAUAACGCAUACUAUCGGGUAACACAUAUGGGAUUAGCUCGUAGGUGAGGUAAUGGCGCACCUAGGCGACGAUCCCUAGCUGGUCUGAGAGGAUGAUCAGCCACACUGGGACUGAGACACGGCCCAGACUCCUACGGAGGCAGCAGUGGGGAAUAUUGCACAAUGGGCGCAAGCCUGAUGCAGCCAUGCCGCGUGUAUGAAGAAGGCCCUAGGGUUGUAAAGUACUUUCAGUCGGGAGGCGUUACCGACAGAAGAAGCACCGGCUAACUCCGUGCCAGCCGCCGCGGUAAUAC